rnacentral:tRNA from 1 species
AGGCCAGUAGCUCUAAUGGUAGAGCUCCGGACUCCAAAUCCGGCUGCUGGGGGUUCGAGUCCCUCCUGGCCUG